rnacentral:rRNA from 1 species
GAUGAACGCUGGCGGCGUGCCUAACACAUGCAAGUCGAACGAAGCAAUCAAGAUGAAGUUUUCGGAUGAAUUCGAGAUUGACUGAGUGGCGGACGGGUGAGUAACGCGUGGAUAACCUGCCUCAUACAGGGGGAUAACAGUUAGAAAUGACUGCUAAUACCGCAUAAGCGCACAGUACCGCAUGGUACAGUGUGAAAAACCCCGGUGGUAUGAGAUGAGCUCGCGUCUGAUUAGCUAGUUGGCGGGGUAACGGCCCACCAAGGCGACGAUCAGUAGCCGGACUGAGAGGUUGAACGGCCACAUUGGGACUGAGACACGGCCCAG